rnacentral:rRNA from 1 species
UGGGGAAUAUUGCACAAUGGGCGAAAGCCUGAUGCAGCAACGCCGCGUGAGUGAUGAAGGCCUUCGGGUUGUAAAGCUCUGUCUUUUGGGACGAUAAUGACGGUACCAAAGGAGGAAGCCACGGCUAACUACGUGCCAGCAGCCGCGGUAAUACGUAGGUGGCAAGCGUUGUCCGGAUUUACUGGGCGUAAAGGAUGCGUAGGCGGAUUUUUAAGUGAGAUGUGAGAUACCCGGGCUUAACUUGGGUGCUGCAUUUCAAACUGGGAAUCUAGAGUGCGGGAGAGGAGAAUGGAAUUCCUAGUGUAGCGGUGAAAUGCGUAGAGAUUAGGAAGAACACCAGUGGCGAAGGCGAUUCUCUGGACCGUAACUGACGCUGAGGCGUGAAAGCGUGGGUAGCAAACAGGAUUAGAUACCCUGGUAGUCCACGCCGUAAACGAUGAGUACUAGGUGUAGGAGGUAUCGACCCCUUCUGUGCCGCAGUUAACACAAUAAGUACUCCGCCUGGGAAGUACGAUCGCAAGAUUAAAACUCAAAGGAAUUGACGGGGUCAUAG